AAAGGGCUACUACUAGCUGUUAACAUCUAAUCACAAGAGUUACAAGAAAAAGAAGAAAAAAGCUCAAUCCUUUCAAAAUUUAUUUAAAAUCAGCCAGUUAAUCAACCAUUAGUCUAGACUAUUUUUGAUGAAAUAGUCAAUUUUCAUGGCUAAACAUGGUUAAAUAUAAUGCUUUAGCCAAUAUAAGAUAUUUGUAGCUUGAAAAAUGGGUAAUAAUAUUGCAAGUUAGAAGAAGAAUAAGAAAAAUAAAGGAUUUUAUUAAAGUGCAUUAUAAUGCAUGAUAUUAGUUGAAAGGAAAGGAUUAAACGAUCAGUUGAAACGGAAUGAUAUUUUUAUUAUUUGCCGUAUUCAAUUUACAUUUAACCCUUUACCUAUUUUAUGGAUUACAUGGAUUAAAAAAUACAUGUAAGCUGGUUUAUGGUCUAUAUGCUAGUCGGUAGUAAAUAAUGCAAUGAUUACAGCAAAUAAUGAUGGUAAUACUGCAUUUAAUAAUGAGAUAACAGACAACAAAUAAUCUAUUUUUUUCUUAUUUAAUUUCAAUUCCAUACAAUUGGGCCAAAGUCAGGAAAGAUUCAUAAAAUUUCAACUAUUUUAAGGUCAAAUUUUUAACCCUCAACCACUGGAACAGACUUUUUCCCUAAUCCUAAUCAAACAUCCAAUUUUAUUUCAAUUUAUUGAUUGUUUUUUUUCUGUUUUUUUCAGUGAAACUACCAAGAUUGAAUUUAUGAACCAAAAGAGAUUGAUAAUGAAGAGCCAAAUAAUCAACAACGAAUUCUGGAGACAAUUAAAUUUGUAAAUUGAAGCCUUGAAUGAUACAGAAAUAAGUCUUGAAAUUGAACGCAAUCAAUGGAUCUGGGUUGACCAGUAACUCAAGCUAAUACAAAACAGCAUGAGUACAGUCCUGAUUUGUUUUACAUCCUCAGCAUACUCUUCAUUUGGCUCUUCACUUUGCUCUUCAUCUUACUCUUGAUAGUAUUUUUAAAGGUAAAAUUUGGUACAAUUUACUCUUGGAAUGGAAUAAAAGGUUUAAAGGUUAAUUCAUAAUGGAUGCAACUUGUUGAGAAUGGUGAAAAAGAAAUGAGAAUUGAUGGCGAACAAGAAAAAGUAAAAUUUCUCUUCUUGAGAAUGGAUCAAUUGAAGAAGGCUUAAAGUAUCUCAAAUGAGCAGACAAGAAAGAAGUGAUCUCUAAAAAUUAGAUGAACUGUUAAUAAUAAUGGAAGCUGAUGAUUUAAAAUGGUUAAAAUAAUAAUCACAAUAAUACCAAUAAUGAUUCAAGAUAAUCACCUUUUUAUUUAUAUCGUCCAUCUAUUGCAAUCUAUUGGUUCAUUGAUUGACGGAAAAAGGUUGAUCUUUCAACGGAAUGACCUUUAUCUUUUAUCUUUCUUUCAUUCCAAGAUUCAUUAGAUGAUUAUUCCUGAGUUGAAUCACUUUUCACUUUUAUUUGUUUGCUUACAAUUAUAAUGAUAAUUUUCACCUAUCACCUGACUGAUAGCAAUGAACAAAAUUAGAUUUGAAAACAGUACUGGCUUGAUAACUUGUAAUCAAAUGUUACUUCCUUGUCUUUACAUUUGUUUUGCAUUUUAUUUACCUAUUGACUUAUAUCUUUUGUACCAACUGAUUGAAAACCGACUCUUGUAUUACAACAAUUAAACAUCCGAAGUCCAUUUUCAA